UGGGGUGGUGGCUCAGUGGUAAAGUGUUUGCCUUGAAUGCAUGAGGCCCUGGGUUCGAUUCCCAGCACCACAU